CAACAUAAUAAAAUUAUAGGGACCUAAAAGUUCAACUUUUAAAAUAAAGAUUUUGACUUGUAAAUGAGGUUAAACAUGAGGUAAUAAAUAAUAAUCAAUGCUUAAAUAUUCUUAAUUAUUAUAUUAUAAGGAUGACCACUUUUUUUAUUUUAGCUUUUCCUUACAAAUUUUGUUCUCCUCAGUUCUUCUAUUAAUUUUGUCUUUUGACUUAUUAAAAACAUUAUAAUAUUAUUUUAUAUAAAUUUUGGUUCCUCCAAGUUUGAGAUUAUCACACCUGUCUCUGUCUAUAUAUAAAUUUAAAGCAGUAGCUAUAAGUUGUGACAUCCUAUUUCAUAUUAAUGAAAAAACCUGGAAAGGUUCAACUUGGGCUGCAAGUAAAACGACAGCUCCACAGAAAGUCUGGAAUAAGAGUUUAAAAUGAAAAUUCUGUGGAAAAUUAUGGCCUUGAUAAGGAUAAUUAUCUACCACAUAUUGUUUAUAAAAAGGACCAUAAUAUAUUGCUGCAGGAGAAGUUCCAAGCCAUUCGGCUUUGUUUAAGAUAUGGCUAAUAAUGCUCAUCACAAGGUUUUCAUUGCUCUCUUUAUAUUUAUCUUCAUCAUUUUUGCUCUGAUACAGCCGUCAACCUCCGCUCGUCAGCUUCUAGGAGCGGCGCAACCCAGUGGAUCAGUAGCAGAAGGACCAGGAAAAUAAAUAAAUCAUCACGACCAGGAGGACCAAGAAGAUACGGAUAAUGAAUCGAUAUCCCUUCCGAGGCUUACGUGAGAAGCUCAAUAUAAUGUGCAAAUGAUAUACUGGGAAUGAUAUAUAAACAACUUAACUAGUAUGUUUUAUUUUAUUUUCCUUGGUCUUUUUCAUCGGGUUUGUCUGUUAAAUUCGACAAUUGUAUUAGAAAUAAGUCAAUUACAUCAGUCACUUGCCUUGGUGUGCAAGUGUGUUUUGACUUUCGAUAUUAUUGCCAAUAAAUUUUAAAUAUUUUGUUUUCGCAUAAA